rnacentral:rRNA from 1 species
CCUACGGGUGGCAGCAGUGGGGAAUAUUGGGCAAUGGACGCAAGCCUGACCCAGCCAAGUAGCGUGAAGGAUGACUGCCCUACGGGUUGUAAACUUCUUUUAUAAAGGAAUAAAGUGAGGCACGUGUGCCUGUUUGUAUGUACUUUAUGAAUAAGGAUCGGCUAACUCCGUGCCAGCAGCCGCGGUAAUACGGAGGAUCCGAGCGUUAUCCGGAUUUAUUGGGUUUAAAGGGAGCGUAGAUGGGUUGUUAAGUUAGUUGUGAAAGUUUGCGGCUCAACCGUAAACUUGCAAUUGAUACUGGCAGACUUGAGUACAGAUGCGGUAGGCGGAAUGCGUGGUGUAGCGGUGAAAUGCUUAGAUAUCACGAAGAACUCCGAUUGCGAAGGCAGCUUACUAAACUGUCACUGACAUUGAUGCUCGAAAGUGUGGGUAUCAAACAGGAUUAGAUACCCGAGUAGUC